rnacentral:pre_miRNA from 1 species
ACCUGAGUAAGCUCGGCUAGUCUCAACUCAGCUGGGACUGUCUUAGAGUGAUAGUCAGGGUUCAUGUUUUAGCAUCCUGUUCUGGGCUCUU